rnacentral:rRNA from 1 species
AUUGAACGCUGGCGGCAGGCCUAACCCAUGCACGUCGAACGAUUUGCGGACGGGUGAGUAAUGUCUGGGAAACUGCCUGAUGGAGGGGGAUAACUACUGGAAACGGUAGCUAAUCCCGAAUACCAUCAGAUGUGCCCAGAGGGGAUUUGCUUGUUGGUUGGGUAACGGCUCACCAUGGCGACGAUCCCUAGCUGGUCUAGACGGAUGACAAGCAAAACUGGAACUGAGACACGGUCCAGACCCCUAGGGGAGGCAGAAGUGGGGAAUAUUGGACAAGGGGCGCAAGCCGGAUGAGUACAUGCCGGGUGGAUGAAGAGGGCCUUCGGGUUGUAAAGUACUUUGAGCGGGAAGGCGUUACCCGAAGAAGAAGCACCGGCUAACUCCGUGCCAGCAGCCGCGGUAAUAC